CAGUAUAUUUAAGAAGGGAAUGAUUGUUCUGCAUAGGGUAUGGAGCUGCCUAUGAGCAGAAACUAAUCAGCAUUUCAAGAACCACCUGCAUGAAGUCCUUGCUGCAGCAGGAAGUACAACAAUCCUAAUCAUUUUUCUUCAGUAAGUGUAGAAGAAUUGCCAAUGAUUAAGCAGUAGGUGAGAGAAUGUGUGGCUAAUCCAUGGAGCUCAGGUGCAAGCAAAUGCCUGGCUCCACCCUUCCUCACCCUCACUUAUUAGCAGCUGAGGGAGCAGUAUUCUUCUGGGUAGAGAUUACAUUUCUCUGGAGCUGUCACUGGUUAUUAGAAGAGGAGGCGAAGAGGGGCUAUUGAAAGUGUGCAGUCAAAUGUGAGGAAGAAACCUUUUCAGAUGACAAUUGAAUCUUGAUACCACAAGUGUCUGAAUAUGAAGUGUCCACUUCAAAAAGUUACAAUGGAAAAGCUAAUCUCAUGUCUUUUUUUUGUCCUCAAAAAUAUUUGGAGUGGUAUUUGUUAAUUCCUGAUACCUCUUUCCAUCUCUCUCGUAUGUUUAUAUAUAGAUGAAUGUGUGAGUUUGGUUUUCAAAAUCAUUUCAGAUUCAGUUUUUU